GAUGAACGCUGGCGGCGUGCCUAGUACAUGCAAGUCGAGCGAACGGACGAGAAGCUUGCUUCUCUGAUGUUAGCGGCGGACGGGUGAGUAACACGUGGAUAACCUACCUAUAAGACUGGGAUAACUUCGGGAAACCGGAGCUAAUACCGGAUAAUAUUUUGAACCGCAUGGUUCAAAAGUGAAAGACGGUCUUGCUGUCACUUAUAGAUGGAUCCGCGCUGCAUUAGCUAGUUGGUAAGGUAACGGCUUACCAAGGCAACGAUGCAUAGCCGACCUGAGAGGGUGAUCGGCCACACUGGAACUGAGACACGAUCCAGACUCCUACGGGAGGCAGCAGUAGGGAAUCUUCCGCAAUGGGCGAAAGCCUGACGGAGCAACGCCGCGUGAGUGAUGAAGGUCUUCGGAUCGUAAAACUCUGUUAUUAGGGAAGAACAUAUGUGUAAGUAACUGUGCACAUCUUGACGGUACCUAAUCAGAAAGCCACGGCUAACUACGUGCCAGCAGCCGCGGUAAUACGUAGGUGGCAAGCGUUAUCCGGAAUUAUUGGGCGUAAAGCGCGCGUAGGCGGUUUUUUAAGUCUGAUGUGAAAGCCCACGGCUCAACCGUGGAGGGUCAUUGGAAACUGGAAAACUUGAGUGCAGAAGAGGAAAGUGGAAUUCCAUGUGUAGCGGUGAAAUGCGCAGAGAUAUGGAGGAACACCAGUGGCGAAGGCGACUUUCUGGUCUGUAACUGACGCUGAUGUGCGAAAGCGUGGGGAUCAAACAGGAUUAGAUACCCUGGUAGUCCACGCCGUAAACGAUGAGUGCUAAGUGUUAGGGGGUUUCCGCCCCUUAGUGCUGCAGCUAACGCAUUAAGCACUCCGCCUGGGGAGUACGACCGCAAGGUUGAAACUCAAAGGAAUUGACGGGGACCCGCACAAGCGGUGGAGCAUGUGGUUUAAUUCGAAGCAACGCGAAGAACCUUACCAAAUCUUGACAUCCUUUGACAACUCUAGAGAUAGAGCCUUCCCCUUCGGGGGACAAAGUGACAGGUGGUGCAUGGUUGUCGUCAGCUCGUGUCGUGAGAUGUUGGGUUAAGUCCCGCAACGAGCGCAACCCUUAAGCUUAGUUGCCAUCAUUAAGUUGGGCACUCUAAGCUGACUGCCGGUGACAAACCGGAGGAAGGUGGGGAUGACGUCAAAUCAUCAUGCCCCUUAUGAUUUGGGCUACACACGUGCUACAAUGGACAAUACAAAGGGCAGCGAAACCGCGAGGUCAAGCAAAUCCCAUAAAGUUGUUCUCAGUUCGGAUUGUAGUCUGCAACUCGACUACAUGAAGCUGGAAUCGCUAGUAAUCGUAGAUCAGCAUGCUACGGUGAAUACGUUCCCGGGUCU
rnacentral:rRNA from 1 species